CAAUAGCGUAUAUUAAAGUUGUUGCAGUUAAAAAGCUCGUAGUUGAAUUUUUGCUUGCCGCCGAUGUCGGAACUUCCGUACGUUCGGCGGCGUGCAUCCUUGGGUGGAACCUGUGUGGCAUUAGGUUGUCGUGCAGGGGAUGCUCAUCGUUUACUGUGAAAAAAUUAGAGUGUUCAAAGCAGGCUUACGCCGUUGAAUAUAUUAGCAUGGAAUAAUAAGAUAGGACCUUGGUACCAUUUUGUUGGUUUGCGCACCGAGGUAAUGAUUAACAGGGACAGUUGGGGGUAUUCGUAUUCCAUUGUCAGAGGUGAAAUUCUUGGAUUUCUGGAAGACGAACUACUGCGAAAGCAUUUACCAAGGAUGUUUUCAUUGA
rnacentral:rRNA from 1 species